GACGAUGCAGCCAAGAGGUUACGGCGAUUGAUUAGAAAUCAAUUCCUCUUUGAGGGCGUAUAGUUGGUUCAAAUUCUGCCAUAGUUG
rnacentral:tRNA from 1 species